UACCUGGAAUGGAAUCCAGGGGCAAGCACAGGAGGGGUACGGCUGGAAAAACCGCCGUGCAACCCAAAGGUGUGACGCAUACCGAACUAAAGUAGGGAAAUGUGUGAGCCGGCUGCCGAGAAAAGCCGCUAUUGUUUGUACUGUACCCGUACCGUAAACCGACACAGGUGGAUGAGGAGAGAAUCCUAAGGCCGACGGAAGAAGCAUUGCUAAGGAACUCGGCAAAAUGACCCUGUAACUUCGGGAGAAAGGGUGCCUCGAAAGAGGCCGCAGAGAAUAGGCCCAAGCAACUGUUUAGCAAAAACACAGGUCUAUGCAAAACCGCAAGGUGAAGUAUAUGGGCUGACGCCUGCCCGGUGCUGGAAGGUUAAGGGGAGAUGUCAGGAGACGAAGCAUCGAACUUAAGCCCCAGUAAACGGCGGCCGUAACUAUAACGGUCCUAAGGUAGCGAAAUUCCUUGUCGGGUAAGUUCCGACCCGCACGAAAGGCGUAAUGAUUUGGGCGCUGUCUCGGCAAUGCAUCCGGUGAAAUUGAAGUGCCAGUGAAGAUGCUGGCUACCCGCGCCAGGACGGAAAGACCCCAUGGAGCUUUACUCCAGCUUGAUACUGGGAUUCGGUAUUGUAUGUACAGGAUAGGUGGGAGGCUGAGAAAUGGUGACGCCAGUCGCCAUGGAGCCGCUGUUGGGAUACCACCCUUGCAGUACUGGAUUUCUAACCAGCAGCCGUGAUCCGGCUGGGGGACAAUGUCAGGUGGGGAGUUUGACUGGGGCGGUCGCCUCCGAAAGGGUAUCGGAGGCGCUCAAAGGUUCCCUCAGAAUGGUCGGAAACCAUUCGAAGAGUGCAAAGGCAGAAGGGAGCUUGACUGCGACACCGACGGGUGGGGCAGGUACGAAAGUAGGACUUAGUGAUCCGGUGGUAUUAAGUGGGAAUGCCAUCGCUCAACGGAUAAAAGCUACCCUGGGAUAACAGGCUUAUCACUCCCAAGAGUUCACAUCGACGGAGUGGUUUGGCACCUCGAUGUCGGCUCAUCGCAUCCUGGGGCUGUAGUAGGUCCCAAGGGUUGGGCUGUUCGCCCAUUAAAGCGGUACGCGAGCUGGGUUCAGAACGUCGUGAGACAGUUCGGUCCCUAUCCGGCGUGGGCGUAGGAUAUUUGAGAGGAGCUGACCUUAGUACGAGAGGACCGGGUUGGACUGACCUCUGGUGCACCGGUUGUCAUGCCAAUGGCACAGCCGGGUAGCCAAGUCGGGAAGGGAUAAACGCUGAAGGCAUCUAAGCGUGAAGCCCCCCUCAAGAUGAGAUAUCCCCCGCAUAAGCGGUAAGACCCCUUGAAGACGACGAGGUAGAUAGGGCAGAGGUGGAAGUGCAGUAAUGUAUGGAGCUGACUGCUACUAAUAGGUCGAGGGCUUA
rnacentral:rRNA from 1 species